rnacentral:rRNA from 1 species
AACUAGGCAAAAUUGUACCGUAACUUCGGGAGAAGGUACGCUCUUACUUGUGAAGACUUCGCGUCGUAAGCAGGUGAGAGCCGCAGUGACCAGGUGGCUGGGACUGUUUAUUAAAAACACAGCACUGUGCAAAAUCGUAAGAUGACGUAUACGGUGUGACACCUGCCCGGUGCCGGAAGGUUAAUUGAUGGGUUAGCUUAGGCGAAGCUCUUGAUCGAAGCCCGGUAAACGGCGGCCGUAACUAUAACGGUCCUAAGGUAGCGAAAUUCCUUGUCGGGUAAGUUCCGACCUGCACGAAUGGUGUAACCAUGGCCACGCUGUCUCCACCCGAGACUCAGUGAAAUUGAAAUCGCAGUGAAGAUGCUGUGUACCCGCGGCUAGACGGAAAGACCCCGUGAACCUUUACUACAGCUUGGCACUGAACAUUGACCCUACAUGUGUAGGAUAGGUGGGAGGCUUUGAAGCGCAGUCGCUAGAUUGCGUGGAGCCGUCCUUGAAAUACCACCCUUGUAGUGUUGAUGUUCUAACUUAGGUCCCUAAUCGGGAUUGAGGACAGUGCCUGGUGGGUAGUUUGACUGGGGCGGUCUCCUCCCAAAGAGUAACGGAGGAGCACGAAGGUUGGCUAAGUACGGUCGGACAUCGUACGGUUAGUGUAAUGGUAGAAGCCAGCUUAACUGCGAGACAGACACGUCGAGCAGGUACGAAAGUAGGUCAUAGUGAUCCGGUGGUUCUGAAUGGAAGGGCCAUCGCUCAACGGAUAAAAGGUACUCCGGGGAUAACAGGCUGAUACCGCCCAAGAGUUCAUAUCGACGGCGGUGUUUGGCACCUCGAUGUCGGCUCAUCACAUCCUGGGGCUGAAGUCGGUCCCAAGGGUAUGGCUGUUCGCCAUUUAAAGUGGUACGCGAGCUGGGUUUAGAACGUCGUGAGACAGUUCGGUCCCUAUCUGCCGUGGGCGUUUGAGAAUUGAGAGGGGCUGCUCCUAGUACGAGAGGACCGGAGUGGACGAACCGCUGGUGUUCGGGUUGUCAUGCCAAUGGCAUUGCCCGGUAGCUACGUUCGGAAUCGAUAACCGCUGAAAGCAUCUAAGCGGGAAGCGAGCCUCGAGAUGAGUUCUCACUUUAACUUUAAGUUAACUGAAGGGCCGUUGAAGACUACAACGUUGAUAGGCGAGAUGUGGAAGUGGUGUGAGCCAUUGAGCUAACUCGUACUAAUUACCCGUGAGGCUUAACCAUACAACGCCAAAGUGGUUU